rnacentral:rRNA from 1 species
GUCAGCUCGUGUCGUGAGAUGUCGGUUAAGUCCGCUAACGAGCGCAACCCUCGUCGUAUGUUAUAUGUGUCAUACGAGACUGCCGGUAAAAAAGACCGGAGGAAGGUGAGGAUGAUGUCAAGUCAGCAUGACCUUUAUAUCCAGGGCUACACACACGCUACAAUGGUCUGUACAAUGGGUAGCCAAGCCGCGAGGCGGAGCCAAUCCUGAAAGCAGGCCUCAGUUCAGAUUGCAGUCUGCAACUCGACUGCAUGAAGCCGGAGUUGCUAGUAACCGCAGGUCAGCAAUACUGCGGUGAAUACGUUCCCGGGUCUU